UCAGCCCGCUGACCUGACCUGGGCCUCUCUAUCUUGACCCUGGUGUUGGCCUUGAUUAGCCUCUGACUUUCUUAUUUUAUUCAUUAGUUUUUGCUGUUUUCUUACGGUGGCACUGGACCUUGUCUGUACUAGGUUCCUGAAGGUUACGAAAAAAAAAAAAAAAAAAACCACUCAACACAUUCCAACUAUUGAGAUUUUCAGGAUACACUAAUCUUAACAUCUCUGGGGCCAGGCCAAACAACACGGGCUUUGAUCUAACAGGGACCAUCAACUCACAGCUUCCAGCCCGCCUCCUCUCUAGAUCUAGGUUGUCAACCCUACCUGACCAGUACCCAACUUUGCACAUCUGUCAAUCUUCUCCAACCUGGAUCGUGACACCCUCCUUUCCCCAAGCUGGAGUCCGUCCACCACCCUCAGCUCAACAAAUCCUGGUGUUUCCAAAAGAUGUUCUGUGCUAUACCUCUGCCUGGAUCCGCACCACCAGAAGUAUCAAGUCACCUUUUGGAGACUUCACUCCCUUCCCUACAGAUCUAGUCUCUCUG
rnacentral:lncRNA from 1 species